GAGAAUGCAGGCAUGAGUAGCGAAUGAGGAGUGGAAAACUCCUCCGCCGAAUGACUAAGGGUUCCUGGGCCAGGUUAAUCCUCCCAGGGUGAGUCGGGGCCUAAGGCGAGGCCGACAGGCGUAGUCGAUGGGUAACCAGUUGAUAUUCUGGUACCGGCUUGUCACCGUCCGUGUCGAGGUGUGUGAUGCUAAGCAUGUGAGCUUGUCUUGGGAGUGUUUUUGAUGCUUCUGGGGUGGGUGAGUGUGUGAACCGAUCAUGUAGUAGGCAAGCUGCGGAGGGACGCAGUGAGGUAGCUCAUCCCCGGUGAUGGUUGUCCGGGGCUAAGUGUGUGGACUGUCUGGUAGGUAAAUCCGCUGGGCGUGAAGGUUGAGGCAUGAUGGGGAGCCCACGGUUGUGGGUGAGUGAGUGAUCCUGUACUGUCGAGAAAAGCUUCGUGAGCGAGGUGGCGGGUCCGCCCGUACCCUAAACCGACACUGGUGGAUAGGUAGAGUAUACCGAGGCGAUCGAGUGAAUCGUGGUGAAGGAACUCGGCAAAAUGCCCCCGUAACUUCGGGAGAAGGGGGGCCUCGACUGUGAAGCCCACAUGCUGGGUGGAGGCGGUUCGAGGCCGCAGAGACCAGGGGGAAGCGACUGUUUACUAAAAACACAGGUCUCUGCGAAAGCGUAAGCUGACGUAUAGGGACUGACGCCUGCCCGGUGCCGGAAGGUUAAGAGGAGUCGUUAGCUUCGGCGAAGCGGCGAAUUGAAGCCCCGGUAAACGGCGGCCGUAACAAUAACGGUCCUAAGGUAGCGAAAUUCCUUGUCGGGUAAG
rnacentral:rRNA from 1 species